AUGAAGCUGGAUUCGCUAGUAAUCGCGCAUCAGCCACGGCGCGGUGAAUACGUUCCCGGGCCUUGUACACACCGCCCGUCAAGCCAUGGAAGCCGGGGGUGCCUGAAGUGCGCUGCCGCAAGGAGCGUCCUAGGGUAAAACCGGUGACUGGGGCUAAGUCGUAACAAGGUAAC
rnacentral:rRNA from 1 species